rnacentral:rRNA from 1 species
UCCCUACGGGUGGCAGCAGUGGGGAAUAUUGCACAAUGGGCGAAAGCCUGAUGCAGCGACGCCGCGUGGGGGAUGAAGGCCUUCGGGUUGUAAACCCCUUUCAGCAGGGAAGAAGCGAAAGUGACGGUACCUGCAGAAGAAGCGCCGGCUAACUACGUGCCAGCAGCCGCGGUAAUACGUAGGGCGCAAGCGUUGUCCGGAAUUAUUGGGCGUAAAGAGCUCGUAGGCGGUUUGUCGCGUCUGCUGUGAAAACCCGAGGCUCAACCUCGGGCCUGCAGUGGGUACGGGCAGACUAGAGUGCGGUAGGGGAGACUGGAAUUCCUGGUGUAGCGGUGGAAUGCGCAGAUAUCAGGAGGAACACCGAUGGCGAAGGCAGGUCUCUGGGCCGCAACUGACGCUGAGGAGCGAAAGCAUGGGGAGCGAACAGGAUUAGAUACCCUGGUAGUC